ACGUUCACAACGAUCUUUAGUCAAGGUUAAACAAAUCAAACCGCGGCCAUGUGUCGCCAUAAAAUUAAUCGCCUGCGGCGUAAUCUUGUCGGCUGCAAUGAUUA
rfam:Gammaproteobacteria bacterium MedPE Gammaproteobacteria-MedPE-C70, whole genome shotgun sequence.